AGAAUAACCUAUGAAUCACCAACUCUGUAUAACCUAAAAUUACUUUUUCAAGUUUCAAAACAAGCGCGAGUACGGCUCGAAUCAGCCUCCCUCGGGAACGAAAAUCAACAAUUUUCUCCAGCCAAACACUAAAACACUCAUCCGCAGCAUCUUUUUUCAUCACCCACACCGGCAACACUCUCAUGCCCAUAAAAGGUCCGGCAUUGGCUCUCUUGGAAACACACAUCCGGUUUACUUUUCAGCGUGGUCCAAUCAGCGAUGAGACAGAAACUGCCGUCGGGUACGAUCGGUCUCAUGCCAGCCUUCUCGAAAGCCUCAACCAUCAUGUUACGCUUGAUGAGAAUGUCGCGACGGUGAUUUUCGAAGAACGAGUUGGGGUUGCCGAUGUCACGUAAUUCUUGCUCGAAAGCAACGGCUAAUGCUUGCUGUAAUUAGUAAAUCGUUGCUUACACACCUGUUGCGGGAACGGAGCACAGUCGGCAGCUCUCGCGUGAACAGCCUUGAGAUUAUUGAGGAUGUUGGCCGAACCGUAGGCCCAACCGACUCUGAAACCAGCUACGUUGAAGGAUUUGCUCGAGGAUCCGAUACCAAUGGUUCGCUCCCACAUUCCAGGUAAAGACGCUGCAAUAAAAAUAUAGUCGAUCAAGUAAUCGGAUAAAUUUUCCAAAAUUUCAACCUAUUUUGUGAAAUCAGCCUUGCUACACUACUCGGAAAUUAGAGCUGAUUACGAUGAUUGAAACGAAGCAUUACAUCACUGAUUUAAAUCGAUUAAUUAAACCAUUUCAAUCUCCAACUGUUAUCAGGCGAGAGCGUGUAUAUAAUUAGAAAGUUUCGAUGAACUUAAUAAAAAUUAACUUACCAAUUCUAA